rnacentral:rRNA from 1 species
UAAGCGGAGGAAAAGAAACCAACAGGGAUUGCCUCAGUAACGGCGAGUGAAGCGGCAACAGCCCAGAUUUGAAAUCUGGCCUUCGGGCCCGAGUUGUAAUCUGCAGAUGAGUCUUCCGGCAGAGCGCCGUCCAAGUGCCCUGGAACGGGCCGCCGGAGAGGGUGAGAGCCCCGUACCGACGCGCGCCGAGCCUCUGUGAAGCUCAUUCGAAGAGUCGAGUAGUUUGGAAAUGCUGCUCUAAUUGUGGGGUAAAUCUCCCAUAAGGCUAAAUACCGGCCAGAGACCGAUAGCGCACAAGUAGCGUGAGCGAAAGAUGAAAAGAGCCUUGAACAAGGGCGUCAAAAAGCAUGUGAAAUUGUUGUGGGGGAAGCGUUCGAUGCCAGACGUGGCGGCGGUUGGUUACCCGGCGUUCUUCGCCGGCGCACUCUGCCGUCGCCAGGCCAGCAUCAGUUCGGACCGAGGCCUACUGCCAGCGGGAACGUGGCUCUUUCGGGAGUGUUAUAGCCCGUUGGUAACGUCUCGGACCGGACUGAGGACCGCGCUUCGGCUCGGAUGCUGGCGUAAUGGCCUCUAGCGACCCGUCUUGAA